UACGUAGGGCGCAAGCGUUGUCCGGAAUUAUUGGGCGUAAAGAGCUCGUAGGCGGCCAGUUGCGUCCGCUGUGAAAUCCCGGGGCUUAACCCCGGGCGUGCAGUGGAUACGGGCUGGCUGGAGGCAGGCAGGGGAGAACGGAAUUCCUGGUGUAGCGGUGAAAUGCGCAGAUAUCAGGAGGAACACUGGUGGCGAAGGCGGUUCUCUGGGCCUGUACUGACGCUGAGGAGCGAAAGCGUGGGGAGCGAACAGG
rnacentral:rRNA from 1 species